rnacentral:rRNA from 1 species
GAUGAACGCUAGCUACAGGCUUAACACAUGCAAGUCGAGGGGUAACGAGAGGAAAGCUUGCUUUCCUUGUCGACGACCGGCGCACGGGUGAGUAACGCGUAUCCAACCUGCCCCCAACUAGGGAAUAACCUUGCGAAAGUAAGACUAAUACCCUAUAAUUUCCUCAGAUGUCAUCUGACGAGGAAUAAAGAUUUAUCGGUUGUGGAUGGGGAUGCGUCUGAUUAGCUUGUUGGCGGGGUAACGGCCCACCAAGGCAACGAUCAGUAGGGGUUCUGAGAGGAAGGUCCCCCACAGUGGAACUGAGACACGGUCCAAACUCCUACGGGAGGCAGCAGUGAGGUAUAUUGGUCAAUGGGCGGAAGCUUGAACCAGCCAAGUAGCGUGCAGGAUGACGGCCCUAUGGGUUGUAAACUGCUUUUAUACAGGAAUAAAGUUAGCCACGUGUGGUUAUUUGUAGGUACUGUAUGAAUAAGGACCGGCUAAUUCCGUGCCAGCCGCCGCUGUAA